UCCAGACUCCUACGGGAGGCAGCAGUGGGGGAUAUUGCACAAUGGGGGGAACCCUGAUGCAGCGACGCCGCGUGGGUGAAGGAGCGUUUCGACGCGUAAAGCCCUAUCGGCAGGGAAGAAGGAGGACGGUACCUGACUAAGGAGCCCCGGCUAACUACGUGCCAGCAGCCGCGGUAAUACGUAGGGGGCAAGCGUUAUCCGGAUUUACUGGGUGUAAAGGGGGCGCAGACGGCAGCGCAAGCCAGGAGUGAAAGCCCGGGGCCCAACCCCGGGACUGCUCUUGGAACUGCGCGGCUGGAGUGCAGGAGGGGCAGGCGGAAUUCCUGGUGUAGCGGUGAAAUGCGUAGAUAUCAGGAGGAACACCGGUGGCGAAGGCGGCCUGCUGGACUGCGACUGACGUUGAGGCCCGAAAGCGUGGGGAGCAAACAGGAUUAGAUACCCGAGUA
rnacentral:rRNA from 1 species